CCUAUGUGUCACUGACAAAAACAAGUUUAAUAAGGCAUCACAGUCCAAUUCGAGUUGGAGACAGAGUUGCUCUUUCGAAAGAAAGAAAGAAAGGAAGGAAGGAAGAGAAAGAAAGAGAGAAAGAAAGAAAAAGAAGCGAAGAAAGAAAUACUAACCAGAUCUCUUUUUACAAAAGAAAGUCAUUACUUGGAAAGUUAAAGGAAACUGGCAUGCGGAGGCUAAGCUAAAGGUUGAGGGGCUGUCGAUGCAGGCUGCCCAGCGUAAUGACCACCGCCGGCUCUGACGGGCAGCAGUCGCCAACCCACCGCGGACAAUGCAAGGUCCGUGCGCAGCACGCAGGUCUGACACACGGCAACCCCCGGCCGUCCGGCUCGUCGCCCCGACCCUGCCAACGCAACCAACGCGCAGACCCUCUCCGCGCCGCGCGCACCAGAGCUGCCGCCGCCGUGCAGGGCUUCCCGGCAAACGCGCGUCCGGCGGAGGCGCAGGAACAAGAGGAUUCAUCUGACUUAACUGGAGAUGGCUCCCUUCCCUAAUUUAUUGUUCCAUUCCUGACGCUUCCCCCCUACUGGGCUCAGUGUGAGCAGAUAGGCAACCGCCUCAGAGGUACAAGUUCACAGAGGCAGAGCUGCCCCUUCGCCGGCCCCGAGGCAAAGAAAAUUCCCAAUCUCUUUCAUGUAUUCAUCGGGUUUUGCGGAACCUGGUAAGGAAAUCAAUUCCAAAGGCAGGAAAUGACCCAGAGACCAUAACAAUAUGUGAGAAGCCAAGCCGGUGCUUCCGUCGCUUUAUUUCGAACUAUUCUAAUCUGUGUCCCAGGAAGCCUAACCCAUUACCAGAUGGAGAUCUGUUUUCAGACGCCUCUUGGCAUCUGCCACUCCCGGCUGGUGACAUUUGCACAUUUCAAGAAGGCAAACCUGUCCCCAUAGCUUCAAACUUCCGGAGAGGUGCAGCCCCAGGACAGUCCUCAGGUCUCUGGCGGACAGCACCGACCAUCUGAUGUGCUUCAUCGUAGCUGAACUGUUGCUGGCCUCCAGCCUAGAACAUGAGCACACCGAGUCUGUUCUUGAAGACUUGCAGAAUCUGAAAUCACAAAGCCCCACAUUGCCAGAAAAGGCUGGCUCCCUUGCCUGCUUCCUAAUCCCUUCUCACCCGGCUUUCCUAAAGAAACCCGAUGAGUCAGGAAGGAAGAAAACGUGUCUGAGGGAGAGCUGGGGUUGGUCUGGUCUCUCUCAUUGCUUCUGAAAAUUCCUCCUGUUUUACAGUACGGGUAAGGUUUGGGGAUUCGGUUGUACUUUUUCUGUUUCCUUCUCUAUCAGCUCUCUUUGAGAAGCGCUUCAUUUACCACUCACCAGAUCAGCUCAGCAAAAGCAGAAGACCCUCAAACGAGGAAUUAGUCAUGUUGCAAAGAAGUCUUGACUUCACUUUUGUCCCCAGGAGCUGCGUAAGAAAACACUCCCACCUCGACUCCCAGAUAGAACCAUCAUUCAAUUGCUUUGUUCUGGCCCGAGGGCCUGUGCUUUUCCUAAGCAUUUAACUGUUACUGAGCACCAUCCAUCAGGCUUCCCACUGACGACUGUUGCCAGUUGGAUUUUAAACACAGUGAGGUGGCUCCUGGGAUGCCUUGCUUCAAACAGUUGCAUCUCAUGGCAUGUGGAACUUCCCCAACUAGGGAUCAAAGCCAUGCCCCCUGCACUGGAAGCGUGGAGUCUUAACCACUGGACCACCAGGGAAGUCCUUGUGUCAUAUAUUAGCUUCCACAUAUAAGCGAUAUCAUAUAGUAUUUGUCUUUCUAACUUACUUCACUUAGUAUGAUAAUCUCUAGGUCCAUCCAUGUUGCUGCAAAUGACAUUAUUUCAUUUUUUAUGACUAAUAUUCCAGUGUAUAUAUGUACCAUAUCUUCUUUAUCCAUUCAUCUGUAUAUGGACAUUUAGAUUGUUUCCAUAUCUUGGCUAUUGUAAAUAGAGCAGCUAUGAACAUAGGGGUGUAUGUAUCUUUUUGAAUUAUAGUUUUGUCCCAAAACCAAACUCUUUUUUUAAAAAUUAAUUAAUUAGUUAAUUAAUUUCUCUUUUUUUUAAGCUCUUUAUUGGAAUAUAAUUGCUUUACACCCUUGUACCAGUUUUUGAGGUACACCAAAGUGAAUUAGCUGUAUUUAUACACAUAUCCCCAUAUCCCCUCCCUCCCGCGACUCCCUCCCACCCUCCCUGUCCUGGCCCUCUAAGGCAUCACCCAUCAUCGAGUUGAUUUCCCUUUGUUAUACAGCAACUUUCCACUAGCUAUCUAUUUUACAUUUGGUAGUAUCUCUGUGUCUAUGCUACUCUCUCACUUCUUCCCAGCUUCCCCUUUGCCCCCCAGCCCCGUGUCCUCAAGUCCAUUCUCUGCAUCUGCAUCUUUAUUCUUGCCCUGUCAUUGGGUUCAUCAGUACCAUUUUUUUAGAUUCCAUAUAUCUGAGUUAGCCUACAGUAUUUGUUUUUCUCUUUCUGGCUUACUUCCCUUUGUAUGACAGUCUCUAAGUCUAUCCACCUCAUUACAUAUAGUUCAAUUUCAUGCCUUUUUAUGGCUGAGUAAUACUCCAUUGUAUAUGUGUGCCACAUCUCCCUUAUCCAUUCAUCUGUUGAUGGGCACUUUGGCCAAAACCAAACUCUUAAUCCCCCACCCCACCCCCACUUCAAAUCUCUUCAGUGCUCCCUCUCUCACUGAAGGAUUAAGCAGGCCAGAACUCAGAGUCUCCUGGACCCUUCCCUCUGUUUUACCCUUCACAUUCAAUUUUGCCUUUUAAACCUCUCCUGAAUUCAUACUCUUCUCCCUUCUUCCUUUCCCACUAUCCUAAGCUACCAUCAUCUCUUACCUAGUUUGCUCUAAAAGCCUCUUUACUGGUCUAUCUGCAGCCGUUUUGACCUUCACCUCUCACAAUGUAUCCAGAGUGAUUUCUUCAUCUGAUCUUCAUAUCCACUCCUGCCCUGCCUGAAAAUGGUUAAAAUACUUGAAUGCCUUUCCAUUAUUUUAGGAUACAAUAUUCUUAACAUGCCCUGCACCUAUCCAGCUUUAUCUCAAACCAUGCCCUACUACACUUCCUGCACACCGGCCACUCUGGCCUUCUUUCACUUCCUUUACUUGCUAUGCUUCCCCUCCCCGAUUGCUUUUUGCCCAGAGUGCUCUUCCCCAUCUUCAUCUUGUAACUUACCCCCGUCUUCAAAUCUUAGCUCAGUCAUGGCUUCCUCAGGGCUAUCUUCCCUCACCUCUAUAUCCAGGGCAAAUCUCUACCCUAUGACCCUGGGUACUUCUCCUUCAUAUGCUGAUCAUGGCUAUAAUUUUAUAUUUAUUGGUAUGACUACUUGGUUCAAAUAAAUUUCCCACUGACUGUAGAUUCCAUUAGGGUAGGAAUUGUGCCUGGUUUUCUGUGCCUAGAACCAGCACAGUGCCUAGUACAUACAUAGAAGGUGCUUGGUAAACGCACUUGUUAAAUAAAUGAAUGAAAGAAUGAAUGAAUGAAAAUGGACUUUUAUUUUCUGUAAUUCCUUUGGUUCCCCCUUCUCUGGCUAUUUCACCUGUGCCCUAUCCUUUGUUUAGUCAUUGGACACUCAAUCAUGAAUUUGUUUUACAUGUCCCAGUGCCACUGCUGGGUCUCCUUUCUAUUAUUGGUAAAGACAUUCAUGAGAUUCUGUAUGACCUUGGAUAGCGUCCUCCUAUGGACACUUCCUCUCCUGCAAUAAUUUUGUUAUUAUCAAGAUUCUGUUCAGAACUUCAGGCUUAGGUAAUAAGAGAGUACCACCUGAGGUGGGCAGUCUCCCACCUAGCACAAUAAGAUCAUGAAAUUGAAGGGAACCCUUGGUUUUCAUUUAGUUUAAUUUCUCAAGCGAAACAGACAUCCUUUCUAUACCACUUUUGACAGAUACUAGUCGCUAAUGUGUAUUGAGCAUAGACCAGUUACUGUCUUAAGAACAUUGAUGGAUGAACCCACUGAAUCCUUUGUAACCAUAUGGGUACAGUUACCAUCAUGUCUCCUUCAUAGAUGGAGAAACAGUGGAAUGCUUGUCUAAGUCGUAUGAGUAAUAACUGGCACAGUCAAGAUUUGAACCCAGGCAAUUUGGCAGAGCUAGGGCUUUUAGCCACUGUGCUAUGCUAUGCUACGCUACCUUUGUAGUUAGCCAACAUUUAUGUGGACACCUCCAGGAAUAGGAAUUCACUCCACCGUGAACUGGAUACUAGCCAUUUUUCCUAAUUCCAGCCUCUAAAACUAUACAGAAUAGCCUGCUCCAACUUCCACAGACAGUCAUUCAAAUAUUUUCAAAUACUGAGAGUAAUUUUUUUCUGUUCAUAAAAAUAACAUAUGCUCAUUGUAGAAAAUUUGGAAAAGUUCAGAAGAGUAUAAAGAAAAUAAGAAUACUUGAUAACUAAGGAGAAAAUAAAUGUU